UAAAGUGAUAAUGUAGAUUUCUAACCUACCGUAAGCUAAUGCUACACUUUUG
rnacentral:tRNA from 1 species